CGGGACGGGGUGGAGUAAUGUCUGGGAAACGUGCCUGAUGGAGGGGGGUAACUACUGGAAACGGUAGCUAAUACCGCAUAACGUCGCAAGACCAAAGAGGGGGACCUUCGGGCCGUCUUGCCAUCGGAUGUGCCCAGAUGGGAUUAGCUAGUAGGUGGGGUAACGGCUCACCUAGGCGACGAUCCCUAGCUGGUCUGAGAGGAUGACCAGCCACACUGGAACUGAGACACGGUCCAG
rnacentral:rRNA from 1 species